GGAAGCGUGGCAGAGCGGUCUAAUGCACUCGCCUUGAAAGCGAGCGGUGGGCAACCACCCGGGGGUUCGAAUCCCUCCGCUUCCGCCA
rnacentral:tRNA from 1 species